AGCAGCCGCGGUAAUUCCAGCUCCAAUAGCGUAUAUUAAAGUUGUUGCAGUUAAAAAGCUCGUAGUUGAAUUUCGGGGUUAGUAGGUUGGUCAUGCCUCUGGUAUGUACUGGUCUCACUGAUUCCUCCUUCCUGAUGAACCUUAAUGCCAUUUAUUUGGUGUUUUGGGGAAUUUGGACUGUUACUUUGAAAAAAUUAGAGUGUUUAAAGCAAGCUAACGCUUGAAUACAUUAGCAUGGAAUAAUGAAAUAGGACGUUCGAUCCUAUUUUGUUGGUUUCUAGGAUUGACGUAAUGAUUAAUAGGGAUAGUUGGGGGCAUUAGUAUUCAAUUGUCAGAGGUGAAAUUCUUGGAUUUAUUGAAGACUAACUACUGCGAAAGCAUUUGCCAAGGAUGUUUUCAUUAAUCAAGAACGAAAGUUAGGGGAUCGAAGACGAUCAGAUACCGUCGUAGUCUUAACCAUAAACUAUGCCGACUAGGGAUCGGAUGAUGUUAAUUUUUUAAUGACUC
rnacentral:rRNA from 1 species